AUUGAACGCUGGCGGCAUGCCUUACACAUGCAAGUCGAACGGUAACGGGCCUUCGGGUGCCGACGAGUGGCGAACGGGUGAGUAAUACAUCGGAACGUGCCCGAUCGUGGGGGAUAACGAGGCGAAAGCUUUGCUAAUACCGCAUACGAUCUACGGAUGAAAGCAGGGGACCGCAAGGCCUUGCUCGGACGGAGCGGCCGAUGGCAGAUUAGGUAGUUGGUGGGAUAAAAGCUUACCAAGCCGACGAUCUGUAGCUGGUCUGAGAGGAUGAUCAGCCACACUGGGACUGAGACACGGCCCAGACUCCUACGGGAGGCAGCAGUGGGGAAUUUUGGACAAUGGGCGCAAGCCUGAUCCAGCCAUGCCGCGUGCAGGAUGAAGGCCUUCGGGUUGUAAACUGCUUUUGUACGGAACGAAAAGCCUUCUUUUAAUACAGGAGGGUCAUGACGGUACCGUAAGAAUAAGCACCGGCUAACUACGUG
rnacentral:rRNA from 1 species